rnacentral:rRNA from 1 species
AUGGAUUCCCCCAAUCGUGUCCCGGAAGGUCGCUUCUCCUACGAGCACACCGGCAACGGCUGCUUCAUACCCUUCGGGUGCCGCCAUGGCCUCCAACUCAUCUUCCACCAAUCAGGGAAGCAGCUCCAUGUGCGGGACCCGUUCAACGGCGACAAGCGCCGCCUACCCGUUCCCCCGGGGUUCGAUGGCUGGGAGACCCCGAUCAGCGGAGCGGUGUUUCGCGCUGCCGGAGACAUCCAACACUUCCAGGUGGUCUUGGUAGGCACCGAGAGAAACAACCAACAUCAUACACGGGUAAUCGCCCGCGUCUACUCAUCGGAGACUGGCAUAUGGGGUAAUCUCAUGUCGACACCGCUUCCACCCAAGGCUUCGAGUUCUAUGGACCAACAUCCCACCAAGAUUAGAAUGUGGUUUACUAUCAGUGUGCUAGUUGGGCAUUCCCUUUACUGGUUGCUCACUAAUAUAUCGGCAGCAACCAACAUGUUGGAUGGCAUCCUUGAGUUUGAUUUGGAGAGGCAGACUCUAGCUGUGAUACCAGUGCCGGUGGAUAUUGCCAAUAAUUGUCUUAGCCAAUUUCAGGUUAUGCAGGCAGAGGGUGGUGGACUUGGUAUUUUCUUUCUAUCAAAAUUCAGUGCCCAACUAUGGAAGAUGGAGACUGAUUCUGAUGGUGUUGCUUCAUGGGUGCUGGGAAGAACUGUUGAACUGGACAAGCCACUUUCCCUGAAUCCAGAAGAGGAAGAGUCCCUAAUUAUAGGGGGGUUUGCUGAGUACAAUAAUGUUGUGUUCCUACAGACACCUACCAACUUCUUCAUGGUCCAGCUUGAGUCACUGCAGUUCAAGAAAGUUUCCAAGAGCAACAGCUUGACUCGCUAUGAUCCGUUUGAAAGUGUCUAUGUUGCAGAAUACCCCCUUGUAGGCACGGGUAUUGAUGGUGGACAUGAUGGAGCUGAAUUUUUUCGUAAUACGUAA